CCUACGGGAGGCAGCAGUGGGGAAUUUUGGACAAUGGGCGCAAGCCUGAUCCAGCAAUGCCGCGUGAGUGAAGAAGGCCUUCGGGUUGUAAAGCUCUUUUGUCAGGGAAGAAACGGUGGGAGCUAAUAUCUCCUGCUAAUGACGGUACCUGAAGAAUAAGCACCGGCUAACUACGUGCCAGCAGCCGCGGUAAUACGUAGGGUGCAAGCGUUAAUCGGAAUUACUGGGCGUAAAGCGUGCGCAGGCGGUUUUGUAAGACUGUCGUGAAAUCCCCGGGCUCAACCUGGGAAUGGCGAUGGUGACUGCAAGGCUAGAGUUUGGCAGAGGGGGGUAGAAUUCCACGUGUAGCAGUGAAAUGCGUAGAUAUGUGGAGGAACACCGAUGGCGAAGGCAGCCCCCUGGGUCAAAACUGACGCUCAUGCACGAAAGCGUGGGGAGCAAACAGGAUUAGAUACCCUGGUAGUCCACGCCCUAAACGAUGUCUACUAGUUGUCGGGUCUUAAUUGACUUGGUAACGCAGCUAACGCGUGAAGUGACCGCCUGGGGAGUACGGUCGCAAGAUUAAAACUCAAAUGAAUUGACGGNGUGAGAGNGCGAGACGACGACGAGGGAGGAGG
rnacentral:rRNA from 1 species